GUGGCUUCACCAAUUUACAUUCCCACCAACAGUGUAGGAAGGUUCCCUUUUCUUCUAAAGUGUGAUCAUUUUUAAUUUUAGUCAUAUAAGUUUCAAAAUUUAAUUCUGGAAGAAUCCUGAGAGGUUAUUAUUCUGGGCUCAGCAGUUCACCAGUAGAACUUUUUGUGAAAAUGUUCGUUAUGCACCAUCUGACAUACGUGGUUGGGGAGCGCUUGAAAUGUGACACGUGUGACCAAGGAAUUGAAUUUUAAAUUAUAUCGAAUUUUAAUUAUUAAAAGUUAGAUUUAAAUAGCCAUAUGUGACUAGUGGCUACUGUAUUGAACAACUCAGUUCUACCUUUGCACAGACUUAGUUAAGUCUCAACUAAUAAUACAACAAUUUUUUUUCUUUUGUAAGUGCCUUUUUUUCCAUGAAAAGUAAGACUAGAAUUAUUGAGUAAUGUGGAAAUAGAUAUAGAUUCCUCUGCCUUAGACUACCUACUUUAUCAAAUGGAAUAAUUUAAAGGAGAAAAUCAGCCCUGCCUUUUGACUACUAAGUGAUCCUAGGCAAUGGCAUUUCUGUAUUAUUGACACGGAGGGAGCCUUCCUAUAGGGACCUUCCAUGGCUUGUAUUUGGUAGAGAUGUAGAGUUCACAGCACAUUUUCUCAAUUUUUUUUUUUUUUCCAGAAAAAAUCCCUUGUAUUAUUAUCAUUCUCAUGUUAGGGGUGCAGAGGCUGAGCUACAGUGACCUGCCAGUUUUAUCAGCAUGAGUGUGAGGAGAGAGGAGGAGGCGGUCUGGUUCAGUUCACACAAAACGUUUCCUAGGGACUCAUUGCUUGUGGCAGGUACUGUUAUGUGCAGAAGAUUCAGAGAGGAAUAAAAUAAAGCUCUCCUCUCUUGGAUAUUUUGGGUGCUCUCCCCUGAGGGAGGGAGAAGAGUGAGGCUGGCUGUGGACAGUCACAUCACCUCUCUAGGAGACUACUUACUAACCGUUCUCUCCGUCUGGGUGUCAGCAGCCCACCCCCCUUCUUCUAAGCCUGGUGGGCACUCUGCCAGUCCUUAUUCCACUGACCUGCACUUUCUAUUAAGGCUUGUCUGCAUCUCACCAUAUCUUCAAAACUCACCCCUUUUUAAAAUAAAUCCUCCUUCUUGAAUUAUCUGGUAAAUGUCAUCUGGUUCUGGUUGGGACACAGUGUGAUACAUCCCCUCCUUCUAAUUGAACUGUUUCUGGGGGUAUAUCUCCUCUCUUCUUGGGUUGGGUGGAACAGCAGCACCAAGGUCUCUGUUCUUGAACACUGGCUGACACAUGGAGUGUGAUACUGUAGAUUCCAGCACUCUAGAUGCCCAGCAUGCUGGGAUCCUUAACCCCAUCACAAGAGAUGCCUCUGUGUUGAGCUGUGGGUUUAAAUUGAGGCAGCAUACCUUGGCAAAUUAUUCCAUUAUGAUAUAUCUAACAGAAGAAAUAUUUAAAUUUAUCAACGAUGUGAUAACAAAUUCUGUUAACAGGUAUAACUUUAUUUAUUGACCAACCAUAGAAGGAUUUCAUUUAUAGAGUGGGUGGUCAAUAAAUGAUUUUGUUGAUGACUAAGUUUGGAUUUAUUCUUAAAUUAUGAUGCAUUGUAAAUACAUACCAGAAAUGAACAAAUAUAUUAAUUAAGAGGUCAGUAUAUUAACAUUAUUUAAUAUAUCUGAAUCACAUGAUUGUAUUUUAACACAGAUCUAUUAAUCUUUACUUAGAUUAUCAUCAGGAAACACUUUUAGUCUUUUAAAUAAUGUAAUUGAAGUAGCUGCCUAUUUUAUACUAAAUGAUUAUUAGAGUAUGAUGUGUCAUACACUGUGGUAGGUACUAGGAUUAAAGUGGUAAACAGGUAGACACUGUUUGCAUUUGCGGAAUGUAUAUUUUAUUGGGUAAGAUGUAUGCCAAAGGAAUAAUUUGCAAGUAAUUUAUGUAUUGCAAUUGUUGCAUAGUUAUAUGGUUUUUGUUUCCUUUUCCCCUUCCUCAUUCUACAACCCCUCCCCCACCCGACCUGGAGCCUGACUGAUAUUGAGACCAAGAAAACAGGGUAUUUUUUUGGAAAUUUGACUCAAGGAGGAGACAGAUAUUCUUUAGCAUAAUAAAGUGCAGGAGAUACACUAAAAGUGAUGAAAAUCUCUGGAAUAAUAUGGCAAUGAAACAUAAAGGAGCUGAACAAGAAGAGAUCCAGUGACAGAGUCUGGGUGUCUGCUUGAAGGAGUUGAGAGUGAGGAGAAAAGAGGCAUAAAGGGAAUCAGAGGCUGUGGAAGGAAGGAGAUACUUUUAUGCUUACAUCUGGUUGGCCAUAUGGGAAUGCCAUGAAUCUAGAGGAGCUGGGUGUGGAACCAGCUUUCAAGACAGUCCUCAAUGACUCUAGCCCCCUCGUAUUCACGUCCUUUUGUAGUCUCCUCCCACAUUGGAAAAGGCUGACUUGUAUAACCAAUAGGAUAUUGUAGAAAUGAUUGUGUCUUUGGAGUUGAUGUUAUAAAAGAUAUGUGGCUUCUGUCCUGUUCUUUUGGACCACUCGGUCUGGGAGAAGCCAGCUGCUAUGUUGUGAGGACUCUCAAGCAGCUCUAUGGAGAGGUCAAUAAGUGAGACCACAUGAGUGAGAAAUCCUGGAAAUGGAUCUUCUAGCGUCAGUCAAGUUUUCAGAUGACUACAGCCUGGGCUCAUAUCUUGCCUGUGAAAUCAAGAGACCCUGAGCCAGAACCACCUGCUGAGCUUCUUCUGAAUUACUGACUCAAAGAAACUAAGGGCAGAGGGAAGGAACAAGAAAAAAGUAGAACAGACCAGCUUUUAUCAUGGGAGGCUGACUUCAAAAUCAAAAUAUGUUCUGGAGCCAUUCAUAGUUAGAACUGAUUUCAAAAUAAAAUUACCAUUGGCUUUCAAGUGGAAAUUACAGGGAGAAAAUGUUAAUAAAAAUGUAAUGGUUAUAAUGGCAACUCUAAUGAUGAUGAUGUUAUGUGCGUGUGGUUAGAUGAAUGAUUAUAUAAUCUGUGACACUUUUUUUUUUAGUCCAUAGAGGUAGAUUAAAAUUGGUACUUAUGGGAUCAUAAUUUAUUCACAUCUCCCUAGCUCAUUAAAAUUACUUUG